CGUUUGGGGGUUGUCCAAUUAUGAAGAGGGAGACAUAAGUUCAGAAAAUUAGGGUGCUAGAUAAGGUAAGUUAUGCAGACGCAGCAAAGACGGCAAGGCAGAGGGAGGAAAGGACACAGGGAGUAGAGGAGAUGGGGGAUGGUGGAAGGAAGGGGACUUGGGGGUUGGGGAGAGAGCAGUCAGGUCAGGGUAGGAUAGGGAUAGACAAAAGGCAGUUAGUAGUAUUUAUUGUGGCAGCUAUCAACUCAACAAGCAAGUCUACAUCUAAGACCACCAAUAUACAAUAUAUUGUGAAGGCAGCAGCCGAUCAUCUGGGGAUGGAAGGCCUAAAGUGGGAGGAGAUAGAGGCAGAGAUUAAAGGUCCUUACACACCGGCGAAUUUGCGGAGCGAAGCGAAAAAGCGAGACGAAAAUUGCGAAUAUUUGCCGGUCCAAAAAAUCGCUUUCGCCUAUACACACCGGCCGCAAAGCGAAUAUGCGUAUAUUUUUUGCUAAGCGAAUUAAUAAAGUCACUUUGCGGCACGGACAUGACACAUCACAUCUGUCUCCUAAGGAAGACAAGAGAGUGUCAUCUUGUGAGAAAACUACUUCAUUAGUAAUUCGAAAGAGUUUUGGAUACACCUCAGCUGUCUUUCUCUGCGUUUUCAUAAUCUCAAACUUCUCCCUCUCCUCCAGCCGUAUGGGUCUGUGAUGUCAUCAACAACAUGACUUUUGAUUGGCCAGAGGUCUAGCAGGUCCAGAUAUUCGCCUGCGAAUAUCCGAAAAAUUCGACACAAGAGCGAAAAAAUAAAAGCGGCUUUUCACCCCGCGGAAAAAUCGCCGCCGGUGUGGAAGCUUGCAUUGACUUUAUGCUGUUUUAAAAAAAGGUGAAUAAUUCGCUUGGCGAAUUCACGCUUGGUGUGUAAGGACCUUUAGAGCCAGGGUCGCAGCCAGGAGGUAGGAAAGUCACCUCAUGCUCAUGGUUUGGGUGCUGCAGUGGAAUGCUAGGAGCCUGAUGGCUAAUGGACAGGAGAUGAAACACUAUAUAAGGAAGAUGAAGAUACAGCCAGACGUAGUGUGUGUUCAGGAGACAUUUUUGAAACCUAGCUUAGAUUUUAAGGUUAGUGGGUAUAUGACUGUCAGGAGGGAUAGGAAUAAAGAAGAAGCAAGGGGAGGGUGUGCAAUAUUUAUUAGGCAGGGUAUUUCAUAUAGGCUGAUAGAAAGUGGGGAAGAGCAGGAAUAUAUAUAGUGGUAGAGUUGUGGGAGGGAGGGGAGGCGGUGGUUAUAGUUAACUACUAUAACCCAGGGGGGAGGUUAAUGUUGGAUAGGUUAGUUGGGAUAAAAGGGGUUGAUAGACGAAAGGUUAUCUGGUGCGCAGACUUAAAUGCACAUAACACUUUGUGGGGUGGGAAACACACAGAUGUAGAUGGUAGGGUAGUUGAGGAGCUAAUGGAGGAGAGGGAAUUAGUAUGUUUAAAUGAUGGGAGGGGGACUAGAAUAGAUGUCAGAACAGGAAAUGAGUCAGCUAUAAAUAUUACAUUGGUAUCAGCAAGUUUGGCAGGAGUCAGUAAAUGGGAAGUGUUGUCAGGUAAGUCGCUAGGUAGUGAUCAUUAUUUAAUCAUGUGUACAGUAGGGGGAAGAGUGGAGGUGGGGGUGGGUAGGGGGCUUCGGAAGUGGGUGUACAGUAAAGCAGAGUGGAAUAAAUUUAGGGAGGUGAGUGAGGGUCUACUGGAGGUAGUUGAUAUGAACAGGAAUGUGGAAGUAGUUAACAAUAGUGUUACAACAGCAAUAAUCACAGCAGCAACCCAAGCUAUUCCGAGGAGCAGAAAUGGGAGGACCAAGAAGUUAGUUCCAUGGUGGUCAGAGGAGUGUAGCAAGGCAGUGAAGGCCCGAAAUAAAGCUUUCAGAAAGAUUAAGCAGAAUCAUACAAUGGCAAGUCUGUUAGAGUAUCAGAGAGCACAAGCAUUGGUGAGGAGAGUAGUUAGACGCACAAAGAGGGAGAGUUGGAGGCAGUUUUGUAAUGGUACAGGGAGAACAACACCGGUAGGAGAAGUAUGGGGUAUGAUAAGGAAGAUGGGAGGGGACAGGAGGGAGUGGGAAUACCCUGUGAUUACAGAGGAAGGAGAGACAGCAGUAAAUGAUAAGGAAAAGGCUGAGAUGAUAGCCAGGGCAUUUGCGAAGGUGCAUAGUGUAAACAAUCUGACAAUGGAGGGGAAGAGGAGAAGAGAGAUGACUCAGAGUAGAUAUCCAGGUGCUCUAGACAGGAGGAAGGAUGCGGGGGAAUAGACACCAGAUUUACUAUGGCAGAGCUUGUGAGAGCAUUUAGGAAGGCAAAGCCUACAGCUCCAGGGGGAGAUAAGGUAAGCUAUGUAAUGCUGAAA